CAGCCGCCGCGGUAACACGAAGGGUGCAAGCGUUACUCGGAAUUACUGGGCGUAAAGCGUGCGUAGGUGGUGGUUUAAGUCCGUUGUGAAAGCCCUGGGCUCAACCUGGGAAUUGCAGUGGAUACUGGGUCGCUAGAGUGUGGUAGAGGAUAGUGGAAUUUCCGGUGUAGCAGUGAAAUGCGUAGAGAUCGGAAGGAACAUCUGUGGCGAAGGCGACUAUCUGGGCCAACACUGACACUGAGGCACGAAAGCGUGGGGAGCAAACAGGAUUAGAUACCCCGGUAGUCCCUGUCUCUUAUAC
rnacentral:rRNA from 1 species